UGCAAGGCACGUUUUACUGAAAAAGACUACGUGCAGGAAACUAUUCAUGGGCGCAAACCCACCAUACAGAGACUUAAGUCUACUGCCAUUCCCAGCCUAUUUUCCUGGACCAAGCAAGAGACUGAAUCGUCCGCAAAAAUCAGGGCAGUUUCCUGUGAAAACAAAAGAACUAAACUUGAUGAAUAUUGUAGUAGAAAUCUAGAGGAAAGUUUUGAUUGUAAAGUUGGUUUUCCUGAAGAAGUCAUUCAUACUGCAGAAAGGAUUUAUGACUGUCCACCACCAAUUGCCGAGCUAAUGUUGAGCUUCACAGAUGGAAUUACGCAAACACCAUCAAUGCCUAUGUUUUCAGCAGAGAAUUUUGAAAUGAAGACACGUGACACAGCCAUGCAUUUUUAGAGUUGUAUACUAAAUUUUUAUUUGUUUUGACCACACUUGGUCCAGCAGCACAUUGUUUGAGAUGCAUAUAUUUUCAAAUUGAUAGGGUGUCAGUUGAAAAUCAGUUUUUUUAUGACUUUGAUGAAAUUGAGGCAUUAUACAACCAACUUUGAACUGUCUACAUUUGUAGAUUCUAGAUUGAAUCUAGUGUUAAGAAUAUUGUGUAUACAUGGAUUGUUUUUAUGUCUAAACAGUGGUGUGAGGCUAACACUUGGCCAUCUAGUGGUUUAGUCAGGUAUUUUUCACCAUCCAACUUCAAAUUAAAGUUUCCUACGACUUUGAUUAUUAUUGACAGCACAGAAUAUCCCGUGAUAAAACCUAAAGCUCCUAGAGCUCAGGCAACCUUUUCAUCAAAUAAAAACAGAAACACUGAAAAUUCUUGAAUGUUCGACACCUGGUGGUUUAGUCAACUAUGUCUCUAUGUCACAUAGAGCAAAUUAUUGGACUUGGCAAAACAUACAAAAUUCUAAUAAAUCCUAUGAAUGGAACUGAAACAAAACUUUCAUCUGAAAUAACAUUUAGUUGUUUUAUGUUGUGUAAUUUUAGAACUUGUAUUGUGCCAAAGGAUGCAUAAAUAAAAGUGACGCAAUGAA